UACGGAGGGAGCUAGCGUUAUUCGGAAUUACUGGGCGUAAAGCGCACGUAGGCGGCUUUGUAAGUUAGAGGUGAAAGCCUGGAGCUCAACUCCAGAACUGCCUUUAAGACUGCAUCGCUUGAAUCCAGGAGAGGUGAGUGGAAUUCCGAGUGUAGAGGUGAAAUUCGUAGAUAUUCGGAAGAACACCAGUGGCGAAGGCGACUCACUGGACAGGUAUUGACGCUGAGGUGCGAAAGCGUGGGGAGCAAACAGG
rnacentral:rRNA from 1 species